rnacentral:rRNA from 1 species
UACGAGGGGUGCAAGCGUUAUUCGGAAUCAUUGGGCGUAAAGGGUGUGUAGGCGGUAUAUUAAGUCUGUUGUUAAAUUCUCCGGCCUAACCGGAGGCCUGCGGUAGAAACUGAUAUACUAGAGGAUGGAAGAGAGAAGUGGAAUUCUCGGAGUAGCGGUAAAAUGCGUAGAUCUCGAGAGGAACACCAAUGGCGAAAGCAGCUUCUUGGUCCAUUUCUGACGUUGAAACACGAAAGCGUGGGGAGCAAACAGGAUUAGAUACCCCCGUA